rnacentral:lncRNA from 1 species
AGGCCCCUUAUUCUGUUGGGACCAAAACUCCCAAAAUCAAUACCAACCUUCCUUUUAUGGUCAUAAACCUUGUGUUUAAAUUUCAUAGAUUUCUAUUUACUUAUACUAAACGUUAUGGUGCGAAAAAACCAAGAAAAAUGCUUAUUUGGGUCCCUUUUUGGCCCCUAAUUCCUAAACUGUUGGGACCUAAACUCCAAAAAUCAAUACCAACCUUCCUUUUGUAGUCAUUAACAUUGUGUUUAAAUUUCAUUGAUUUCUAUUUACUUAAACUAAAGUUAUUGUGCGAAAACCAAGAAUAAUGCUUAUUUGGGCCCUUUUUUGGCCCUUAAUUCC